AUUGAACGCUGGCGGCAGGCUUAACACAUGCAAGUCGAGCGAGCGGCGGACGGGUGAGUAAUGUUUGGGAAUCUGCCUGAUGGAGGGGGAUAACUACUGGAAACGGUAGCUAAUACCGCAUACCAUCGGAUGUGCCCAGAUGGGAUUAGCUAGUGGGUGGGGAAAUGGCUCACCAAGCCGACGAUCCCUAGCUGGUCUGAGAGGAUGACCAGCCACACUGGGACUGAGACACGGCCCAGACUCCUACGGGAGGCAGCAGUGGGGAAUAUUGCGCAAUGGGCGCAAGCCUGACGCAGCCAUGCCGCGUGAAUGAAGAAGGCCUUCGGGUUGUAAAGCUCUUUCGGCGGGGAGGCGUUACCUGCAGAAGAAGCACCGGCUAACUCCGUGCCAGCAGCCGCGGUAAUUC
rnacentral:rRNA from 1 species